rnacentral:rRNA from 1 species
AAUACGUUCCCGGGUCUUGUACACACCGCCCGUCACACCAUGGAAGUUGGUUCUACCUUAAGCUGCCGCUCAAACGGCAACCACGGUAGGGUCAAUGACUGGGGUG